UACGUAGGUGGCGAGCGUUGUCCGGAUUUACUGGGCGUAAAGCGCACGUAGGCGGAUAUUUAAGUCAGGGGUGAAAUCCCAGAGCUCAACUCUGGAACUGCCUUUGAUACUGGGUAUCUUGAGUAUGGAAGAGGUGAGUGGAAUUCCGAGUGUAGAGGUGAAAUUCGUAGAUAUUCGGAGGAACACCAGUGGCGAAGGCGGCUCACUGGUCCAUUACUGACGCUGAGGUGCGAAAGCGUGGGGGAGCAAACAGG
rnacentral:rRNA from 1 species